GACGAACGCUGGCGGCGUGCUUAACACAUGCAAGUCGAACGGGCAGGCCAUGCUUUUGUGGGGUGCUCGAGUGGCGAACGGGUGAGUAACACGUGAGUAUCCUGCCCUUGACUUUGGGAUAACUUCAGGAAACUGGGGCUAAUACCGCAUAGGAGCUCCUGCUGCAUGGUGGGGGUUGGAAAGUUUCGGCGGUUGUGGAUGGACUCGCGGCUUAUCAGCUUGUUGGUGGGGUAGUGGCUGACCAAGGCUUCGACGGGUAGCCGGCCUGGGAGGGUGGCCGGCGACAAGGGUACUGAGGGACGGACCAGAAUCCUACGGGAGGCAGCAGUGGGAAAUAUGGCAGAAUGGGGGGAAGCCUGAGGCAGCAACGUUGCGUGCGGGAUGACGGCCUUCGGGGUGUAAACCGCUUUCGCCGGUGACGAAGCGUGAUUGACGGUAAUGGGUAAAGAAGCACCGGCUAACUACGUG
rnacentral:rRNA from 1 species